CUGUCUCAGUUAUUUCAUCUAAAAGAGUUUAGACGAAUUUUGAAGAAAACUCGAUUUCGAAAAUUUUGCACUUACGGCUCUCUUCGCUAUCACGGCAGUAAUUGUCUCCUGAUGUCCCCCAUUGCUACUGCCACAUGCAAGCCAAGGCCAACUCCGCUUUUCAACAACUAUUACUAAGUGGACAUCUGCCGGGCCGAUUCUCCAAGUUUUGGUAGUGGCUGCAGGUUAAAACGUUCGAGAAUCCAAACCUGGACAAUAAGUACGGAGCAGUUCGGGAGCCGAAGGCUUGAAGAGUUUGUAAAAGAAGAAUAAAAGAAAUAAUAAAACUAUGCUCAACAAGAGUGGACCCUCCUGCAGAUGGCUUAGGGUAUGAGGAGCUGUCAAAUAUCAUAAAAAGAAAGUUCCGGAAAGGGUUUUCAACCGGAAGGGAAAGAGUCAUUCACUGAAGACGAUGACCUUCCGAUCGAGGCGUUGAAGGCAUAUAGCAGAAAAGAUCUCGAAGAGCAAGACAACCUGGCAGGCGCUGUUGCACACAAUAUUUGCAAGGAGGAUAGGAAGAAAAAGGUACAAGUCCUCUUUUGCAUUUUAAUUGUCUUGCAUUUAUAGAAACGUUUCCAAAAUACCCCUCAGACAAGCAUCUAUAGGUGCAAGCUAUCAUAGACAGCGGAACAUCGCGAUCACUCGAAAAUAGAGCUAAAAUUUCAUG
rnacentral:lncRNA from 1 species